rnacentral:rRNA from 1 species
GGAAUAUUGGGCAAUGGAGGAAACUCUGACCCAGCCAUGCCGCGUGAGUGAAGAAGGUUUUCGAAUUGUAAAGCUCUUUCGGAUACGAGGAUGAUGACGGUAGUAUCUAAAGAAGCCCCGGCACACUUCGUGCCAGCAGCCGCGGUAAUACGAAGGGGGCGAGCGUUGUUCGGAAUUACUGGGCGUAAAGGGUGUGUAGGCGGAUAUGUAAGAUAGCGGUGAAAUACCUGGGCUCAACUUAGGAAUUGCCGUUAUAACUAUGUAUCUAGAGUGAUAGAGAGGAUAUUGGAAUACCCAGUGUAGAGGUGAAAUUCGUAGAUAUUGGGUAGAACACCGGAGGCGAAGGCGAGUAUCUGGCUAUCAACUGACGCUGAGGCACGAAAGCAUGGGGAUCAAACA